rnacentral:rRNA from 1 species
UGUUGCGGUUAAAAAGCUCGUAGUUGGAGUUCUGCCAGGUGACGCUCGUCCGCCCAAGUGGUGUGUACAGGGCGUGCAUCUGGCCCUUUCAAGGGGAACGUGUUGCACUUUAUUGUGUGGCGCGAGAUCCUUGACUUUUACUUUGAGGAAACAAGAGUGUUCCAAGCAGGCUCUCGUCGUGCAUAGCUCAGCAUGGAAUAAUAGCAUUGGACUUCGUUUCUACGCUGUUGGUUGCAAGAAGCGAGGUAAUGAUGAAGAGGGAUAGUUGGGGGCAUUCGUAUUUAACUGUCAGAGGUGAAAUUCUCGGAUUUGUUAAAGACGGACUACUGCGAAAGCAUCUGCCAUGGAUGUUUUCAUUGAUCAAGAACGAAAGUUAGGGGAUCGAAGACGAUCAGAUACCGUCCUAGUCUUAACUAUAAACCAUGCCGGCUAGAGAUGAGAGGUCGUUCAAUUUGUGACACCUUUUGCAUCUUGAGAGAAAUCAAAGCCUUUGGGUUCCGGGGGGAGUAUGGUCGCAAGGCUGAAACUUAAAGGAAUUGACGGAAGGGCACCACCAGGAGUGGAGCCUGCGGCUUAAUUUGACUCAACACGGGGAAACUUACCAGGUCCGGACUUAGUAAGGAUGUACAGAUUGAUAGCUCUUUACAGAUUCUAAGGGUGGUGGUGCAUGGCCGUUCUUAGUUGGUGGAGUGAUUUGUCUGGUUAAUUCCGUUAACGAACGAGACCUUAACCUGCUAAAUAGUGCUGAGUUUCUUUUCGAAACGAAGGUAUCUUCUUAGAGGGACGUCACGUGUCUAACGUGGGGAGGUGUGAGGCAAUAACAGGUCUGUGAUGCCCUUAGAUGUUCUGG